AGGGUUGUAGCUCAGUGGUAGAGUGUAUGCUUUGCAUGUAUGAGGUCCUGGGUUCAAUCCCCAGCACCUCCA